rnacentral:rRNA from 1 species
UACGGAGGAUGCAAGCGUUAUCCGGAAUGAUUGGGCGUAAAGCGUCCGCAGGUGGCUGUGUAAGUCUGCUGUUAAAUAGUGAGGCUCAACCUCAUAAAGGCAGUGGAAACUACACGGCUAGAGUGCGUUCGGGGCAGAGGGAAUUCCUGGUGUAGCGGUGAAAUGCGUAGAGAUCAGGAAGCACACCAGUGGCGCCAGCGCUCUUCUUUUCCGCAACUGACACUCAGGGCCUAAAGCUAGGUUAGCGAAUGGC